CCUACGGGUGGCAGCAGUAGGGAAUAUUGCUCAAUGGGGGAAACCCUGAAGCAGCAACGCCGCGUGGAGGAUGAAGGUUUUCGGAUUGUAAACUCCUUUUGUUAGAGAAGAUAAUGACGGUAUCUCACGAAUAAGCACCGGCGAACUCCGGGCCAGCAGCCGCGGUAAUACGGAGGGUGCCAGCGUUACUCGGAAUCACUGGGCGUAAAGGGCGCGUAGGGGGGAUAGCAAGUCAGAUGUGAAAUCCUAUGGCUUAACCAUAGAACUGCAUUUGAAACUGUUAUUCUAGAGUAUGGGAGAGGUAGGUGGAAUUCGUGGUGUAGGGGUAAAAUCCGUAGAUAUCAAGAGGAACACUCAUUGCGAAGGCGACCUGCUAGAACAUAACUGACGCUGAUGCGCGAAAGCGUGGGGAGCAAACAGGAUUAGAUACCCCAGUAGUC
rnacentral:rRNA from 1 species